UUUAGCUGUGAAAGCUGUCAGACACAGGAGAAGAUAGCUGCACUAGUUACGCACAUCACGGGUGGAGAGACAGCUAUUGCAGCUCCAAAAAUAGCAGCAGAGAGCUGCAUGUUUGUAAAUUCUACUCUCUGUAUUUAUCUAAGAGGACAAGGAACAGCAGUGGCUGGUCAUCAAGGGAUCAUUUUCUUUGCCAGAAGGAUUUUUCAUUCUGCAGAUCAUCUUUUCCACACAAAAAUAACAGAUAGUGAAGAAAAGAAACACUGUCCCAGUUGAACUCAGACAGCUUGUGACUGACACCUACAGAAAAUGAAGCUGAGGGCCGGGCUGGCAAGGGUGCCAGCUGGGAGCAGAGAUGAACCAAAAGCAGAGCCCAGCCUCUUCUUUGCAGGGGAAGUAUGUCUGAGAUAGAAGAACCUGACACUCCUGAUUUCACAGCAAUCAUCUUCCGUUCACUAAAUGUGUGUCUGAGCAACUACUCAGGCAUCACAAAAAAAAGGGUGUAUAAUUAACUGAGUGGAACAGGGGGCUGGGAGUCAGGAUGCCUGUUUUUUUCCCCCAGAUCUUUCACAGACUUCCCGUGUGACCUUGGACAAGUCAUGUCACUGCUCCGUGCCUCAGUUGCCCCAUCAAUGGAAUGUGAAUAAUAACGCCUGACCUUACAGAAGAGGCUUGAUCACAUGUUUUCAGUAUAGUGCUGGGAGCCCUAAUCAUGGAGGAGGACCCCAUCGCACUGGGUGCUGUAACAACAGAACAAAAAGAUGGUCCCUGCACUGAAUUUACAAUCUAAAUAGACAAGAAGACAUAGGGUGUGGAAGGGGUAGAACACACGAGGAGAGUGAACAAUGUGAUGUCAUAGAGUUGAAGGCCAGAAGGGACCACCAGAUCAUCUCCUCUGACCUCCUGGGUAUCACAAUGCUUCAAGCUCUCAUGCUUCAUGUGCUGGCAGGCACGUCACAAAGCAAGGAGUUACAGACCAGCCGUGCAGCGACUGUGCGAACAAACACGGCAAUCAUUCUUCAUGCCCCAGCACCUAGCACACAGGGAUGUGCGUGUGUGUCUCAUGCUGACUGAGUAGAGCUGGCGGGUGUGGGUGCAGAACAUACUUGAGAACACUAGAGCUCCUGGGCCCUGAAGAAGAGAAGUGCAACAAGUUGGUGAAGAGCUAUUAGUUACAGCAAGCUGUUAAGGAGUGAGGGGAGGUGUUUAAAAUCAGCUGCCUCAGGCUCUGGUCUUGCUGCUGGGGUGGAGAAGGGAGGAGUGUUAUUGUGAUAUUUGGUGGCCUGACUGUGGAACCCCAAUCUGCUACAGGCACUACUUGUGUGGGGCAGCAGUUUGUAUGCACAUCCUCCUAGCUCUGGUACUUUCUUCGCAGAAGUCAGCUGGGAGAAAUCAAGGGGUUCUUUCUGAUCAGCCAGUAAUACAUAAAUCAUACCUGAGAAAAGGCAUCUUUUAAAAGGACCGUCCCAUGAUCCAGGCCCUUGAAGCUUAACCCAGAAGUUCACUGGUUUGUUACUGUAGGCCUGCUUGAGAGCACUAAAAGGAUUUUUUUCUCCUAUAGAGUGGCUCCCAAUGCCUGAAUUGCAUAAACUGGCCGAUUAUUGUAGGGUUGCUCCUGAGCAUUGGCUUGUGCCUGCUGGUGUGUUAUUGUAGGGUCUCUAAUGAAGCCUGGGCCACUGGCACCAAUGAUCAUUUUUUUGCUAAGCCAAGGCCAUCUAAGUCUCUUCUAAAAAAGAGAAGCACAAAGGACUCUGCAAGCAAAUGGAAAGGAAGGAAGGAAGGAAGGCAGGCCCCGUGUUGGUCUCCACCUGAUUUUGGUAUCACCCUCUUUCAAUAAAUCUUCAUGGUGACCACCACCUUUGUCAUGUCCCUUCACCAAAAGCCGAGCGUCACCUCCUGCUUCUCAACUGCAUCUGUUCAAGUAUCAGAUUGAAACUGGCUCUUCCUGCUUCCAUUGGUCCAUUGCUUCCAUUGUUGUGUGCAUUGUUGUGUUCCAUUGUUGUGUUCCAACGUAGUUACAGCCAUGUGAGAGAGCGAAUGAGAGGAAGAGGAGAAAAUAACAACAACUGGGGACUCAAGAGGAAGGGGAACCCCCCUGACUGGGCUCCGAUCAAGCCUUCUCCUAUAUACCACCACUGUGCUGGCAUCCAGACCAAGGGAUCUGAGUGGUUCUAGCUGGCUUAUGGAGUUUUGCCAUCAUCUACUCCUUACUAAGAGAGCAAAGCAGCAUCACUGCUUCUGCCUGGAUGCAGCACUGGGAUAUGUCAGUCACUGUGGGACAUGCAGAUCAGCUUCUGACCAAAGGGAGUUUUCUCCAAAUAGACUCUGAGUCUUCUUCCCUACCCCACCCAGCUCCACUCUGAAUUUCCUCUCUCACCUACAGAACUUGAUACUGGCAUGGAAAUCGGGAGCUAACAUUGCUGGCCGGACUACGUUGAGGAAAGCAUUGAUAAUUUAUGUGCUGUAUCUCGCUUACUGCACAAAGAUGAGGGUUGGCAGCUGGGGACAGAACCACGCUCCAGCCCUGUAGUGACAUCGCUUACUAUAAAGGAAGGUUUCUUUCAUAUUGUCACGUGAACUUAGUGCUGGUGAGGGGUGCUGGAUUGAUGGCCCUGGAGAAUGAAGGCCUCUAUUUAUCCACAGCCUAGGUAGAACCCUGGCUGUGGUAAAACAAGCUUCCUACAUAUAUGACCCUUUGUCAACAUACUUCAGCCCUGACCUUCAGGGAGCUCAGUUUCCCCUUUCAGACCUCUGCCUCUCUGCUGAGACUGCCAACAAGGGGCCCAGAGAACAAGGCCAAGUGUGAUGGUGGUUUGCAUGCCAUGGACAUGUGUACACUGGGAACCUUAUAAAGAGCUGCCUACUCAUUAGUGAGAGGCCACGUAAGAGCAGUCCUCUAGUCUAGGAUGGCUUUGAGUUAGCAACCUUGAGGUCAGAAGCUUUCUAUUCAAUUAGCAGUCUGCCUUGAGCAAUCUACUCCACUGUCUAGGACGUGCCUAAUCUAUCCCCACAAAGAGGCCUCAUUGGGCAGAGCGGCCCCCUGGUAUAGACCCAAUGAUACUCCCACUAAAAUGAAUAACAAAAUUCCCAUUGACUUCAAUGGGCACAGGAUCAGAACCAAAGUUUCUGUUGGCUCUAUACUUUUGCAGAUGGUCUGUGGCUCUUUAAAAUUCCUCCCCUGUGUACAAUAGGCAAUAAGGUGGUAUAAUUGUCCAUCCCCUGUCUACAUUAGGGCUCCCAUUAUCGUGCACACGAAUUCAGCUCCAUCACUGGGAACAACGAUGGGAGAGUUUAGAUAAAAGAGGCUAGUGUAGACACUGAUGUAGCCUACCCCAGAAUCAGAGUGAGGAAGCCCCAGGAAUGAAACCCACAUGUCCUGCCCCACAGUCUUCUUUAACUGGUAGACAAUGCUC